rnacentral:rRNA from 1 species
GUACUGAGACACGGACCAGACUCCUACGGGAGGCAGCAGUGAGGAAUAUUGGGCAAUGGAGGCAACUCUGACCCAGCCAUGCCGCGUGCAGGAAGACUGCCCUAUGGGUUGUAAACUGCUUUUAUACAGGAAGAAACACCUCUACGUGUAGAGGCUUGACGGUACUGUAAGAAUAAGGAUCGGCUAACUCCGUGCCAGCAGCCGCGGUAAUACGGAGGAUCCAAGCGUUAUCCGGAAUCAUUGGGUUUAAAGGGUCCGUAGGUGGAUAAUUAAGUCAGAGGUGAAAUCUUGCAGCUCAACUGUAAAAUUGCCUUUGAAACUGGUUAUCUUGAGUUAUUAUGAAGUAGUUAGAAUAUGUAGUGUAGCGGUGAAAUGCAUAGAUAUUACAUAGAAUACCAAUUGCGAAGGCAGAUUACUAAUAAUCAACUGACACUGAUGGACGAAAGCGUGGGUAGCGAACAGGAUUAGAUACCCUGGUAGUCCACGCCGUAAACGAUGACAACUAGCUGUUAGGAGACUAUGUCUUUUAGUGGCGCAGCUAACGUUUUAAGUUGUCCGCCUGGGGAGUACGGCCGCAAGGCUAAAACUCAAAUGAAUUGACGGGGACCCGCACAAGCAGUGGAUCAUGUGGUUUAAUUCGAUGCAACGCGAAAAACCUUACCUACUCUUGACAUACUUGGAAGCUCUUGUAAUGAGAGUGUGCUUUUAAGAACCAAGAUACAGGUGCUGCAUGGCUGUCGUCAGCUCGUGUCGUGAGAUGUUCCGUUAAGUCGGAUAACGAGCGCAACCCUUACCCUUAUUUGCCAGCGAUUCGGUCGGGAACUAUAAGGGGACUGCCGGUGAUAAACCGGAGGAAGGUGAGGACGACGUCAAGUCAUCAUGGCCCUUACGAGUAGGGCUACACACGUGAUACAAUGGGAGAGACAGACGGACGCUAAGCCGCGAGGUGGUGCUAAUCCUAGAAACUCUCUCGUAGUCCGGAUUGGAGUCUGCAACUCGACUCCAUGAAGUUGGAAUUGCUAGUAAUCGCGGAUCAGCAUGCCGCGGUGAAUACGUUCUCGGGUCUUGUACACACCGCCCGUCACACCAUGGAAGUGGAUUGCACCAGAAGUAGAUAGUCUAACCUUAGGGAGGGCGUUUACCACGGUGUGCUUCAUGACUGGGGUGAAGUCGUAACAAGGUAGCCGUAGGGGAACCUGUGGCUG